UGCCUGGAUCCCAAUGUUAGGAACAACUUCCUUGUUUGUCAAGAGGAGGGUGGGGAGCAGGGCGAGGAAUUUACUGCACGCAAGCAGAGAAGAAAAGUAGGCGGUUAGGAUGAACUGCAGCCCCUGGUGUGGACCAACCUUGCCUCCCAAUCAGCUGCAGUCAUCGUUGGAAGAUGCGGAUGCAGAAGAGAAGGACCCAUCCCGAGGAGCAGAAGAGGACCCAGUUCAUCAGCCAGAGAGCCCGAUAGAGAAGCUUUUUGAUUUAUCCCUCUAUCUCUCUUCCUGUCCCCUCCUUACUCUAACAUGACUAACCAUCUCCCUUCCCCUCCUCUACUCUCACCUCUCUUAUGCCCUUUCCCAAAGUAACA